AGUGAACGCUGGCGGUAGGCCUAACACAUGCGAGUCGAACGGCAGCACAGUAAGAGCUUGCUCUUACGGGUGGCGAGUGGCGGACGGGUGAGGAAUACAUCGGAAUCUACUUUUUCGUGGGGGGUAACGUAGGGAAACUUACGCUAAUACCGCAUACGACCUACGGGUGAAAGCAGGGGAUCUUCGGACCUUGCGCGAUUGAAUGAGCCGAUGUCGGAUUAGCUAGUUGGCGGGGUAAAGGCCCACCAAGGCGACGAUCCGUAGCUGGUCUGAGAGGAUGAUCAGCCAAACUGGAACUGAGACAAGGUCCAGACUCCUACGGGAGGCAGCAGUGGGGAAUAUUGGACAAUGGGCGCAAGCCUGAUCCAGCCAUACCACGUGGGUGAAGAAGGCCUUCGGGUUGUAAAGCCCUUUUGUUGGGAAAGAAAAGCAGCAGGUUAAUACCCCGCUGUUCUGACGGUACCCAAAGAAUAAGCACCGGCUAACUUCGUG
rnacentral:rRNA from 1 species